UGGCGAAAUCCGGCAGCGUGGGCGCGUGCGAGCGGGGGCGAGUAGAGGGGUAGAAGAGAGGAGAGCUCAGGCUUUAUAGGGACGCGCUCGGGCUGCUCUGGGAAGGUCGGAAUCAACGGGGACGGAGAUUGCGGCGGCGCGGUGUCCGGCGCGGAUUCGGUGGCCGGCUUUCCUAACGGGGAAGAAGACCCUGACGCGUGGGUCGCACGCGUCAGUGGCUCGGCGCAAGCGCGCAUGGUGCUGGGCCGGCUCGGUCCGGUCCGGGCGCGCGGAACUGGGCCGGUUCGGCCCAUUAGGUCGGGCCGGUCCGGUUUUCUCCCUUUUUUUUUCUUUUAGCCUUUUCUUUUUCUCCUUUUCUCAAUUCUUUGAUAUCUUUUGAUUUUGAACUCGAAAUUGGUCCAAAUAAAUUCCAGAAAAUUUGUAAAAUCUUGUUUUAUCAUGAUACAACUUUUGGGAGUAAUUUCCCCUGAAAAUAAAAUAUAUUUUCCCUAUAAAUGCCUUUAGGGCUAUAUAACUAUUUAAAUAAAAUACUUUUUCAACUCUAAAUAAAACUUUAAAGAUUAUGGGAUAGCUCAUAUAUGCAAUAGACCCCAUUUAUAGUUAAACCCUAUUGGUUUGAAGAUCCAAGGCUCAAAUGGGUGUAAACCCUAGGGUUUAAAUUGAAAUAAAAAUCUUUUAAAGCCUUUUGAGAUUCAAAUUUGAAUUCAAAAAUGCAAUUGUGGCAUGAUGCUCAUGGAUGCAAUGCAUAUGUAAAAGUUUGAAAUUUUGGGAUGUUACACCCUCACUCUUGUGAGGCUGGUUUCUUCUAAUUCCUUGCAAAUCCUUUUAUAUGGUCAAUUAUGACAGUAUAUGCUUAUUAUUGGAAAGCAAUCAUAUCUUGGUAUUUCAAUUUGCAUCUUGCAAGAGUGAGUGUAUAUAUCAAUAUGUAUCACCCUUUGUGUAUUGAUCCAUCCC
rnacentral:lncRNA from 1 species